rnacentral:rRNA from 1 species
AGCGAACGCUGGCGGCAGGCUUAACACAUGCAAGUCGAGCGGGCAUCUUCGGAUGUCAGCGGCAGACGGGUGAGUAACACGUGGGAACGUACCCUUCGGUUCGGAACAACUCUGGGAAACUGGAGCUAAUACCGGAUACGCCCUUAUGGGGAAAGGUUUACUGCCGAAGGAUCGGCCCGCGUCUGAUUAGCUAGUUGGUGGGGUAACGGCCUACCAAGGCGACGAUCAGUAGCUGGUCUGAGAGGAUGAUCAGCCACACUGGGACUGAGACACGGCCCAGACUCCUACGGGAGACAGCAGUGGGGAAUAUUGGACAAUGGGCGCAAGCCUGAUCCAGCCAUGCCGCGUGAGUGAUGAAGGCCUUAGGGUUGUAAAGCUCUUUUGUCCGGGACGAUAAUGACGGUACCGGAAGAAUAAGCCCCGGCUAACUUCGUG